rnacentral:rRNA from 1 species
GACGAACGCUGGCGGCGUGCUUAACACAUGCAAGUCGAACGAGUGGCGGACGGGUGAGUAAUGCUUGGGAAUCUGGCUUAUGGAGGGGGAUAACGACGGGAAACUGUCGCUAAUACCGCGUACCAUCGGAUGUGCCCAGAUGGGAUUAGCUAGUUGGUGGGGUAAUGGCCUACCAAGCCGACGAUCUCUAGCUGGUCUGAGAGGAUGACCAGCCACACCGGAACUGAGACACGGCCCAGACUCCUACGGGAGGCAGCAGUGGGGAAUAUUGCGCAAUGGGGGCAACCCUGACGCAGCCAUGCCGCGUGAAUGAAGAAGGCCUUCGGGUUGUAAAGUUCUUUCAGCGAGGAGGCGUUACUCACAGAAGAAGCACCGGCUAACUCCGUGCCAGCAGCCGCGGUAAUAC